rnacentral:rRNA from 1 species
AACGAACGCUGGCGGCAGGCCUAACACAUGCAAGUCGAACGCACCGCAAGGUGAGUGGCGCACGGGUGAGUAACACGUGGGAAUGUACCCUUUGGUUCGGAAUAACGUUUGGAAACGAACGCUAAUACCGGAUGAGCCCUCUGGGGGAAAGAUUUAUCGCCAAAGGAGCAGCCCGCGUCUGAUUAGCUAGUUGGUGGGGUAAAGGCCUACCAAGGCGACGAUCAGUAGCUGGUCUGAGAGGAUGAUCAGCCACACUGGGACUGAGACACGGCCCAGACUCCUACGGGAGGCAGCAGCGGGGAAUAUUGGACAAUGGGCGCAAGCCUGAUCCAGCCAUGCCGCGUGUGUGAAGAAGGCCUUCGGGUUGUAAAGCACUUUUGUCCGGAAAGAAAUCCAAUCGAUUAAUACUCGGUUGGGAUGACGGUACCGGAAGAAUAAGCACCGGCUA